AUGGUAUUCCAUCCCAGAGCAAACCACAGAGGUUAUGAACAGGGGUGGACACUUGCAGCAGCAAAGAAGCGGCUGCUGUUUACAGUGUCAUACGGCACUUCCUGGUCUAGUGCUCUUCACAGGGACAAGACGAUGUUACAAAAAGGACAGAAUGACACAACUUCAAGCAAUGCUCAGUGGAAAGAGAAGUCGUUUUUGGUUUGGAGGCUCACGGUGACAGAUGCCACCACUGCCAAAAACCUAUAUGAAUCAUCAUCGCAUCACAAGAACACAAGAGGAAACAGCAAUAAAAUCGACAGAAGAUGA
rnacentral:rRNA from 1 species